GACGGAGGGUGCUAGCGUUGUUCGGAAUCACUGGGCGUAAAGGGCGCGUAGGCGGCCUUGCAAGUCGGUUGGUGAAAGCCCGGGGCUCAACCCCGGAGGUGCGGCCGAGACUGCAGGGCUGGAGGCCGGAAGAGGAGGGUGGAAUACCCAGUGUAGAGGUGAAAUUCGUAGAUAUUGGGUGGAACACCGGUGGCGAAAGCGGCUCUCUGGUCCGGACCUGACGCUGAGGAGCGAAAGCGUGGGGAGCGAACAGG
rnacentral:rRNA from 1 species